AAAAUAGCAUUGAAACUGCUUCAGCUGUCUUAGACCAGAUGCUCUGUGUUUAUGAUGUCCUCUUUGUUUUUGCAUCAGUUGCGAUGAAAAUGAGAAAAAAAGUAUUAACUCCUUUGGAAAGGAGAAGUCAAGAAGCAGCAGGUGCUGCUACACCUGCACCCACCACAAGUGGAGAUCUGACAUCUGAAAGAGCAGAGGAGACUCUUGUGGCUCAGAAAAGAAAAAACACAACCAAAGAAAAUACUGGAACAAAAAGGAAUAAGGUGACCCGGGAGCAGAUUCAACCUAUCCUUCAGUAGCCAGCUUAUCUGCAACAAUGGGCAUUCCACCGUCUCUCCAGAUCUCAUCAUCAACUCCAUCCUCCACUUCAUUAACUGAGAUAAAACAACUUCAUGAAAGUACUCUGCUGCAGCUCAAAUAAACCAGGCCACUGUGGAGAAAGGAGAUUAGAGGUAAACAAACCUGUCCUCUGUUUUUCUGUUAGCAUCCCAGCCAUUGGGAAAUGCUGUGGAUACACAGUGGAGGACUUGGCUCUAAUCAGAUAUCCUUUACCUGAGCCAAUUUAGAAUAGGGAAUAUGAGCCACUACAUGUCUUUCUCAUCACUUGUA